GGAAAAGUGGAGAGGACUUUUUUAUACAUCUAGAUAACAGCUCAGCCACAGCAAGACAGGGCAACAGUUGGAGUUGUGAGGCCCCCAUUCCAGGCCCCAUCUCCCAGAUAACAUUUCUAGAUACACUCUGGGCCAGAAGGGAUGCCAUUGCCUUGAAGGAAAGGACCCAGACCUGCCAGCAUUUAUCACCUGCUAUGUGAGGAGACCCAGGUAUUCCCAGGUACUACAUCAAGGGCCUUGGUGAGCCUCUGAGACUUUCUGACUUCAGGUUACCAGCUGUGGUGGUUAUGGGGCAAAACUCCUUCUGAUUGAGAGAAGCAGAAGGAAAAGUAAAAGGGAAUUUUGCCUUGCACCUAAGUUACCAAUACCACCAUGGGGGGUAGAGUACAAAGGUGGCUUUGGGGUUCCUGGUUCCAGGACUUGACUCUUGGAUGGCAUUUCGUGACCUGCCCUGGACCAAAGAGGUGCCCACUACCCUGAAGGAAUUGCAGAAUGAACAAGAAUUUCCCAACCAACUAUCUGCUGCUUU
rnacentral:lncRNA from 1 species